rnacentral:rRNA from 1 species
UACGGAGGGGACUAGCGUUGUUCGGAAUUACUGGGCGUAAAGCGCACGUAGGCGGAUUUGUAAGUCAGGGGUGAAAUCCCGGGGCUCAACCCCGGAACUGCCUUUGACACUGCGAAUCUCGAGUCCGGAAGAGGUGAGUGGAAUUCCUAGUGUAGAGGUGAAAUUCGUAGAUAUUAGGAAGAACACCAGUGGCGAAGGCGGCUCACUGGUCCGGUACUGACGCUGAGGUGCGAAAGCGUGGGGAGCAAACAGG